UAUCUCUGUAGAGUCUGCAUAUCAAUAAGCGGAGGAAAAGAAACUAACUAGGGUUCCCUCAGUAACGGCGAGUGAAGCGGGAAGAGCUCAAAUUUGAAAUCUUCAAGGUUUUACCUUGACGAAUUGUAGUUUAAAGAAGUGUUUUCGGUUAGAGGAGUUUAGUAAAAGUUCUUUGGAAUAGGACAUCAUAGAGGGUGAGAAUCCCGUAUUUGACCUAUUUCUUUCUAGCUUUGUGAUACACUUUCAAAGAGUCGGAUUGUUUGGGAAUGCAGUCCAAAAUGGGUGGUAAAUUUCAUCUAAAGCUAAAUAUUGGCGAGAGACCGAUAGCGAACAAGUACCGUGAGGGAAAGAUGAAAAGAACUUUGAAAAGAGAGUUAAACAGUACGUGAAAUUGUCAAAAGGGAAGCGUUUGACACCAGUGUUGUUUUCUCGAAAAUCAAUUAAAAAUGACUGGAUUUUGUGUUGUAUUGACUUUAUCAGCUUUCUGCACUUUUUUCUUGUCUUUUUUAAUGCACUUUUCGUUUAACAAGUCAACACCAAUUUCUUUUGUUGUAAAAGAGUCAUUGGAAGGUGGCUUUCACUUCGGUGAAAGUGUUUAUAGCCUCUGACUUCUGCAAUCGGAGAGGAUUGAGGUCUGCAGCGUAGAUCCUUCGGGGUUAGAUACAUUUGUGCUAAGUUAGUAGUUUUUCAUAGACAACAUGUUGACUAUGAUUUAAUCAUGUAGCUUACUCGCUUAUGCUAUUUUACCUACGCUUAGGAUGUUGAUGUGAUACUGCGAGCA
rnacentral:rRNA from 1 species